rnacentral:rRNA from 1 species
AUUGAACGCUGGCGGCAUGCCUUACACAUGCAAGUCGAACGGUAACGGGCCUUCGGGUGCCGACGAGUGGCGAACGGGUGAGUAAUGCAUCGGAACGUACCUUUCAGUGGGGGAUAACGUAGCGAAAGUUACGCUAAUACCGCAUAUUCUGUGAGCAGGAAAGCAGGGGAUCGCAAGACCUUGCGCUGAUUGAGCGGCCGAUGUCAGAUUAGCUAGUUGGUGAGGUAAAGGCUCACCAAGGCGACGAUCUGUAGCGGGUCUGAGAGGAUGAUCCGCCACACUGGAACUGAGACACGGUCCAGACUCCUACGGGAGGCAGCAGUCGAGAAUAGUCUACAAUGGCCGGAAGGCUGAUAGUGCGACGCCGCGUGAACGAGGGAGCCCUUCGGGUGUAAAGUUCUUUUCUUAUACGAGCAGUGCUAUAUAUAUGGAUAGUAUAUAUAGAGGGAGUAGUAGUAUAGGAAUAAGACAACGGCUAACUCCGUCG